AUUGAACGCUGGCGGAAUGCUUUACACAUGCAAGUCGAGCGGCAGCGCGGUCUUCGGACUGGCGGCGAGCGGCGAACGGGUGAGUAAUACAUCGGAACAUGCCCAGUCGUGGGGGAUAACACUUCGAAAGAAGUGCUAAUACCGCAUACGUCCUGAGCGAGAAAGCGGGGGAUCGCAAGACCUCGCGCGCUGGGAGUGGCCGAUGGCCGAUUGGCGAGUUGGUGGGGUAAAGGCCUACCAAGGCAACGAUCUGUAGCUGGUCUGAGAGGAUGAUCAGCCACACGGGGACUGAGACACGGCCCAGACUCCGACGGGAGGCAGCAGUGGGGAAUUUUGGACAAUGGGGGCAACCCUGAUCCAGCCAUUCCGCGUGAGUGAAGAAGGCCUUCGGGUUGUAAAGCUCUUUCGGCAGGAACGAAACGGCGAGCUCUAACAUAGCUCGCUAAUGACGGUACCUGAAGAAGAAGCACCGGCUAACUACGUGCCAGCAGCCGCAGUAAUAC
rnacentral:rRNA from 1 species